GCCUUUGUGGUGUAAUGGCUAGCACACUCGGGGUGUAUUCGAGAGGUCCGUGGUUCGAGUCCUGCCGAGGGCA
rnacentral:tRNA from 1 species